rnacentral:piRNA from 1 species
GGCCAUGAUAACUUUUACCUUC